AAUCCCAAGCACCGUGAGAUCAUGACCUGAGCAGAAAUCAAGAGUCGGACGCUUAACCGACUGAACAACCCAGGCGCCCCCCACCAAAAAAGAACCCCCUACCUCCCGGAUGGGAGGGGAGCUGGAGGUAUAAAAACUGUUGAGCAGUGAGAUCCAGGGAGCCUCCAGGGUGAGAGAGUCUGGCAUCACUCCAGGAUGUUUGUUUUUAGCUGCAAGUGUGUGAGUGCCGUCGCUGAGGUGGAAAGUCCAGAGCAGGAGCACUUAACAGAAGCAAGUCUCUGGAGUUCGGAGUACUUAACGGAGGCACUCUCAGGAGUUAGGAGCACUUAACAGAAGCACUCUCAAGAGUUAGGUUUUUGCAUGUUGCAUCUGAGAUAUUGCAGGGACCUCUGAGUGGAGGUGGCAAGUGGGCGUCUAGAAGCACAUCUGGAUUUCAAGGAAGGAAGGGGUUCAGGUUUGAGAAUACCACACCCCUCAGCAGCAGCAGGUGUGCAGACGGUGUCACAGGUAAGAGGAUGCCCUCAGCAGAUCACGGUGCGGUGCCAGUACAGGGGAAGGACGGGGAGGAUAUCCAUGGACUGGCUCACUUGCUUCGGCACCCGGAUGGGGAUGGCUGUCAUCACUAAGACAUGAGGAGGUACGGUGACCACGAAUGUGUGUAAGAGAGAGAGUUACGAGGGUACGGGCCUCAGGUGGGGGUCCAGGUGGUGGCAUGGGAUUCCCAGGGGCUGGAUGUGAUCUCCUGAGAGGCAGGGCAGUGAUGGAGGUCCGGUGACACUGAGGAAGGCAUGGUACUUGUUCCCCUCCGCAGGUUUGGGUUUGUGCCAGCUCCUGCUGGGGCCUGAAGAGUGUCUGACGGGAUGACAGAUUCAUUGAGGGGUAAAGGAGGUCCGCUGCAAGAGUCUCUUGGGUCGUGGCGGGAGAGGUGGGCCUGGGCUUUGAAUGAGGAGGUGGAGAGGGACAGGUGUGACUGGAGAGGGGACAGCGCAAACCAUGCUGAGGAGGAGGAGGGCUCAGGGGGUCUGAUCUCACACACGCUGGGGUGGCUGAUGUCAGGACAAGGAGCCAGGCCAGGCGGGGAGGUCCUCAGAGCAGUGCCUGGGGUAGCCCUGGGCCCUGUCGCGUUCGGCAGGCACUGCCUGGGUGCCACAUGCAGAGUGGCCUAUGGGAAGCCAGAGAGAUGCCUGUGACACGGGCUGGAGGCGGCAGUGGUGUCGUGGGUCCCGUGGUCACGGCCUGGCACGUGAGGGAGGAGUGAUCCCAUUGUGCUGUGCGAAUGGGGAAGGGGGUGUGAGGAUGCACUCAGCCCCCUCGUACUCAGGGUUUAAGCCGGAAGGCUGAGUGUGAGUCCAUGUGGGUGUGAUCUUCGUGUCCCAGGAGAGCUGACCAUGAGGGAAGCGGCCUGGAGCACAGAUAAGACCGCCCCCUCCCCAUCUGUUCUCACCGACAAUUGGCAGCAGUGAUGAGCGGGCACGAGGAAGAGCGGGUACCAGUGGACCAGGGCCUGGUACCUCCUCUCAGUGAGGGAGCUGGGGAGGAGGUCCAUGGCCUUGGGAUCCUGCUUAUCAACUCUUCUGCCCCCAUCAUGACAGGGCCACGGGACCUUUGAGGACGUGGCUGUGUACUUCUCUCAGGAGGAGUGGGGGCUCCUGGGUGAGGUUCAGAGACACCUGUACCAUGAUGUGAUGCUGGAGAAUUUGGCCCUUAUAGCCUCGCUGGGUUGUUGGCAUGGGAUAAAAGCUAAGGAAGCCUUUUCUGAACAGAGUUUUUGUGGAAAGAGUGUCACAGGCCAGGAUACCAGAUCCAGGCCUAUUUGUCCCCGAGGCUCCUUCCUGUGAUACAUGUGUCCCAGUGAAGAAAGACGUCUUCAUCCCGGCUGAGCGUGAAGGGACGCACGCUGGGCUGAAGCCAUGCACUUGUGGGCCUUGUGGGAAACUGCGCUUGCUCAGUUCACACCUCCACCAGCACCAGAGACAGAACCCCGGAGAGAAGGCCCUCAGAACGGAGGAGAAUGGGGCUCUGUUUGUGAAGAGCAGGAUCCCCGUGUCAGACAACAUUUUCCCCAGUGGAGAGGCCGAGAAGGAUUUCCUGGGCGGCGUGGACCUUCUCCAGCACCAGGCCAUCCCCAGUGGAGAACGUCCGCACGGAGGCAGGGGGAGCAGGGUGGUUUCUCGCCCUCGGCAAGGGCAGUGCAGCGCAGCGAACAUGGGCAGCCCUGCCACUGAAAGGUUAAGUUCACAGAGCAGCAGAGUGCUUAUGCCGGAGAAGGCCUUCAUAAGUGUGGGCAGUGUGAGAAGUCCUUUGUCCACAAAAAAAAGCUUCUCGAGCACCAGGGAAUCCACGCUGGAGGAAAGCCUCGUGCGUGCAGCAAACGUGGGAAGUCCUGUAAGUACAGAUCUAGUCUUUUUUUUUUUUUUUUUAACAUUUUAUUUAUUUUUGAGACAGAGAGAGACAGAGCAUGAACAGGGGAGGGGCAGAGAGAGAGGGAGACACAGAAUCAGAAGCAGGCUCCAGGCUCCGAGCCAUCAGCCCAGAGCCCGACGCAGGGCUCGAACUCACGGACCGCGAGAUCGUGACCCGAGCCGAAGUCGGACGCUUAUCCGACUGAGCCACCCAGGCGCCCCCAGAUCUAGUCUUAAUCAACACUGGAAGGUUCACACUGGAGAAAGGCCUCCUCGUAAGCGCAGCGAAUGUGGGAAAUCCUUCAUCUUUCGAAAGAGGCUUCUCGAGCACCAGAGAAUCCACGCUGGAGGAAAGCCUCGUGAGUGCAGCAGACGUAUGAAGUUCUUUAGACACAGCUCCACCCUCACUGAACACCAGAAAGUUCACACUGGAGAAAGCCAUCUCAGUGCAGUGAACAUGGAAAUCUUUCAUCCACAAAAAAAGAUUUCUUUUGCACCAGAGAAUCCACAUUGGAGAAGAGUUCUCUGAAUGUACCAAAUGUAGGAAAACCAUGAAAAGGUUGGAAUUCAGUGAGCACCUGAGACUUCACCCUGGGGAAAAGCCGUAUGAAUAUAAUGAAUGUGGGAAAUUCUUCAGACACCAAUCCCCUCAUAUUCAGCACCAUGAAGUUAAUGGUGGAGAGAGGCCUGGAAUGAGUGUUCUGAAUGUGGGAAGUCCUCCAUUUACUAAAGAAAGCUCGAGCAGAGAGAAUCCACACUGGAGAAAGACGCUUUGAGUAUAAUGAACGUGGGAAAGCCUUCAGCCUCGAGGAUAGACUUGUUCAGCACCACAGAGUCCAUAUUGGAGCAAAGUGUUUUGUGUAGCAAAUGUGGGAGAUUUUUCCGUCAGAGAUACUGCUUUGUCAGGCAUCAGAAAAGUUCAUAGUAGAGGAAGUCCUUGGCCACUAAUGGAAUGCACUAUCACCACGUUAAAAACGACACGCCAGAGUGUAGACCUUCCACGGGAUUGAUCAGCUGAACCUUCUACUUCUGAGGAUUCACAGUUCAUUACAAGUAUCAGGUGCUCGUGACUGUUUCUUGAGCUGACCUGACUUUCUAAUGUGCCUGGUGCCCUGUGGCAGAAAGUAUCUCAUCACUACCAUGUGGCAUGUCCCCACAGGGUCCAUCAUCUCUCCGUGUACAGGGGCGUAGACCUCUGUGCCCCAAGCCCUGAAGGGAAUUCGGUGUAACGAGAGCCUAGCCGAGCUGCGUGAAGCAGAGACGGGGUCCCGCUUCGCUGAGAGAAAGAGUCUGGGUUCUCUGUGGAUUUGCAGUUUCUCUCACGGAUGCUAUUCCUUCGUGGAUUCUCGCGAUUGACUUGUGCCUACUCCAAGCCACCCAGCUGGGAAACUGCCUGAUCUCCAUCGGCCGGCAUACAUGUUGACAGACAUCUUAUUGCUUAAGCCACUUUGAAAUUUGGAGGUUAUGUGCAUUUGGGGGGUAUGUUUAGGACACAGCUGUGGCUUGCCAGUGUGAAGGGCUGAACAGCUUUUGUGUCCCAGUGUCACAUCAGAGGCACAGUACGGGUCAGAAAAGAGUUCUUCCCAUUUUGGCUUAAUUUGCAUUGCUUACCGAGGCCUCCUGGGAAAGAGUGCAGUAGGUGGGAUGUUUAACUUCCUAAGGGAUAAUCUGACCUGGUAAUCUAUCUGUUUACACUCUCACCGGAAGAACCAGCACCAGAAUUCCAGUCUCUUUAUAUCCUUACACUUGCUCUGGUCAGGCUUCCUAAUUUCAGUCGUGUAAUAGGUGUAUAGUGGCACCUUGUGGUUUUAAUUUGCUUUUUCCAAAUGGCCUGGUGUUUAGAGGUUUUUCAUGUGUUAAUUUCUAACCAUGGUAUCUUUUUUGAAAUCUCUGUUCCUGUGAUUUGUCAUCUCAAUUACUGGGUUUUGACAUUUGUCCAUGGAUUAUUGAUAAAAGUCUUCUGUUUUAAGUGUUUGCCAAUAUAUUCUUCCAGCCUU